rnacentral:rRNA from 1 species
ACUCCUACGGGAGGCAGCAGUGGGGAAUUUUGGACAAUGGGCGAAAGCCUGAUCCAGCAAUGCCGCGUGAGUGAAGAAGGCCUUCGGGUUGUAAAGCUCUUUUGUCAGGGAAGAAACGGUGAAAGCUAAUAUCUUUUGCUAAUGACGGUACCUGAAGAAUAAGCACCGGCUAACUACGUGCCAGCAGCCGCGGUAAUACGUAGGGUGCAAGCGUUAAUCGGAAUUACUGGGCGUAAAGCGUGCGCAGGCGGUUUUGUAAGUCUGAUGUGAAAUCCCCGGGCUCAACCUGGGAAUUGCAUUGGAGACUGCAAGGCUAGAAUCUGGCAGAGGGGGGUAGAAUUCCACGUGUAGCAGUGAAAUGCGUAGAUAUGUGGAGGAACACCGAUGGCGAAGGCAGCCCCCUGGGUCAAGAUUGACGGUCAUGCACGAAAGCGUGGGGAGCAAACAGGAUUAGAAACCCGUGUAGUCCCAU